GGCUUAAAGCGUACGCAGGCGGACUUGUAGGUAUCUUGUGAAAUCCCACGGCUUAACCGUGGAACUGCAGGGUAAACCACAAGUCUUGAGACAUGUAGGGGUCAGUGGAACCAUGAGUGGAGCGGUGAAAUGCGUAGAUAUUCAUGGGAACGCCAAUGGCGAAGGCAGCUGACUGGGCAUGUUCUGACGCUCAGGUACGAAAGCGUGGGUAGCGAACGGGAUUAGAUACCCCGGUAGUCCACGCCGUAAACGAUGCACACUAGGUCGUGGGAUCUCUCAUGAUUUCGCGGCCGAGGGUAAACUGAUUAGUGUACCGCCUGGGAAGUACGGUCGCAAGGCUAAAACUCAAAGGAAUUGACGGGGGCUCACACAAGCGGUGGAGCAUGUUGCUUAAUUCGAGGCAACGCGAAGAACCUUACCUGGGCUUGACAUGUAUGGAUUAGCUUAUGGAAACAUAAGUGACGCCCUCGGGUGGAACAUACACAGGUGCUGCAUGGCUGUCGUCAGCUCGUGCUGUGAAGUGUCGGGUUAAGUCCCUUAACGAGCGCAACCCCUAUCGUUAGUUACUAACGCGUUAUGGCGAGGACUCUAGCGAGACUGCCGGUGUCAAACCGGAGGAAGGUGGGGAUGACGUCAAGUCCUCAUGGCCUUUAUGCCCAGGGAUGCAAACGUGCUACAAUGGUACGGACAAAGCGAUGCAAUACCGCGAGGUGGAGCAAAUCGCAAAAACCGUGCCCCAGUUCGGAUAGCAGGCUGAAAUUCGCCUGCUUGAAGCCGGAAUCGCUAGUAAUCGCGUAUCAGCUACGACGCGGUGA
rnacentral:rRNA from 1 species